rnacentral:rRNA from 1 species
AUGGAUUAGGCAUGCAAGUCGAACGGAGAGCCCGGCUUCGGCCGGGCAAUCAGUGGCGAAAGGGUGAGUAACACGUGAGCAACUUGCCCCCGAGAUCGGGAUAGCCCCGGGAAACCGGGAUUAAUACCGAAUGCGGUGCAACCGACUCCUGUUGGUUGUUUCAAAUGGUCCGCCGCUCGGGGAUGGGCUCGCGUCCCAUUAGCUUGUUGGUGAGGUAACGGCUCACCAAGGCUGUGACGGGUAGCUGGUCUGAGAGGAUGGUCAGCCACACUGGGACUGAGACACUGCCCAGACUCCUACGGGAGGCUGCAGUCGAGAAUCAUCCGCAAUGGGCGAAAGCCUGACGGUGCGAUGCCGCGUGAGGGAUGACGGCCUUCGGGUUGUAAACCUCUGUCAGGAGGGACGAAGAAGUGACGGUACCUCCAGAGGAAGCCAUGGCUAACUACGUGCCAGCAGCCGCGGUAAUACGUAGAUGGCGAGCGUUAUUCGGAUUUACUGGGCGUAAAGGGUCCGCAGGGGGUUUGCCGAGUCUGAUGUGAAAUCCCGAGGCUCAACUUCGGAACUGCAUUGGAUACUGGUGAACUGGAGUGCACGAUGGGUGAGCGGAAUUCCUGGUGUAGCGGUGGAAUGCGUAGAUAUCAGGAAGAACACCGAUGGCGAAGGCGGCUCACUGGCGUGCUACUGACCCUCAUGGACGAAAGCGUGGGUAGCGAACAGGAUUAGAUACCCUGGUAGUCCACGCUGUAAACGUUGUGCACUAGAUGUGGGUGGAUUUGAUCCCACUCGUGUCCAAGCUAACGCGUUAAGUGCACCGCCUGGGG